GACAAACCAAAUCAUAUUCUCCUUUCCAGUUUCUGAUCAUUACUCCGCCUCCCAUGCUGUUUUCUUCUUUAAAAAAUGCUGCAACGAUAACUUCUAAAAAAUUUCUUCUGUUUGCCACAUCUGCGAGGAACUUUUAGCUAUUGUUUCAGUCUCCAUUUCUGUAGCGUCUUUGCAUUUUCUCUCACAUCCUCAUGCUAAACUAAUCUUGGUAUCAGCUCUAUCCUGCAAGUAUUAUACUUCAUAUCUUCACGGCUUCACCAUAAUCCUGUACCUUUCAUGGCAAAUAAAACCCCACAAGAAAGUCACAUAAUUUCCAUGCAGCUUAUGUAUGGUUUCUCUGUCAGAAAGCCAAUACUAGGGCUGCUUAUUUCUAUUGUGAUAACCUUGAAAAUAGACAAGGCACAUAUGUAUUGCAAGAUAGCACUGAUCAGAACAUAUAUAGCAUCCUAUUCAACUUCUUACUAACAUAUAUAAUACCCACCUUUUGUUGGAGUUU
rnacentral:lncRNA from 1 species